AUUGAACGCUGGCGGCAUGCCUUACACAUGCAAGUCGGACGGCAGCGCGGACUUCGGUCUGGCGGCGAGUGGCGAACGGGUGAGUAAUGUAUCGGAACGUACCAUUCAGUGGGGGAUAACGCAGCGAAAGUUGCGCUAAUACCGCAUAUUCUGUGCGCAGGAAAGCAGGGGAUCGCAAGACCUUGCGCUGAUUGAGCGGCCGAUAUCAGAUUAGCUAGUUGGUGAGGUAAAGGCUCACCAAGGCGACGAUCUGUAGCGGGUCUGAGAGGAUGAUCCGCCACACUGGAACUGAGACACGGUCCAGACUCCUACGGGAGGCAGCAGUGGGGAAUUUUGGACAAUGGGCGCAAGCCUGAUCCAGCCAUGCCGCGUGAGUGAAGAAGGCCUUCGGGUUGUAAAGCUCUUUCGGCCGGGAAGAAAUCGCAUGGGUUAAUACCCUGUGCGGAUGACGGUACCGGCAUAAGAAGCACCGGCUAACUACGUGCCAGCCGCCGCCGUAAAAC
rnacentral:rRNA from 1 species